rnacentral:rRNA from 1 species
AGAGUUUGAUCCUGGCUCAGGAUGAACGCUAGCGGCAGGCUUAAUACAUGCAAGUCAAGGGGGUAGCAAUACAACCGGCGCACGGGUGAGUAACGCGUACAACAACAUGCCAUAUACUGGGGUAUAGCUUCGGGAAACUGAAGGUAAUCCCCCAUAACAUUGCGAAUAGGCAUCUAAUUGCAAUUAAAGUUCCGACGGUAUAUGAUUGGUGUGCGUUUGAUUAGGUAGUUGGCGGGGUAACGGCCCACCAAGCCGACGAUCAAUAGCUGGCGUGAGAGCGCGACCAGCCACACUGGAACUGAGACACGGUCCAGACUCCUACGGGAGGCAGCAGUAGGGAAUAUUGGACAAUGGGCGAAAGCCUGAUCCAGCCAUGCCGCGUGAUAGAUGAAGGCCCUCUGGGUUGUAAAUAUCUUUUAUCUGGGAAGAAACUCCUCUAUUCUUAGAGGCCUGACGGUACCAGAGGAAUAAGCACCGGCUAACUCCGUG